rnacentral:SRP_RNA from 1 species
GUGUGGGCCCGUCGACAGCGCAUCGUGAACCCCGCCAGGACCGGAAGGUAGCAACGGUAGCGAGAAGCGGGUGCGACGGGCCCGUUCCCU